rnacentral:lncRNA from 1 species
GAAGCACGCAUGUUACGGCAUACCGGCUGCUGAAUCUACUCGGAGAUCUCCCUUCAGUAAGGACUGUAACAGGAGCUUGCUGGAUCUUGGCUCUCUAUUUAGAGUAAGAAUGAGAGAAAUUGAAGUUCCCCCUGUUCUGCACAAAGCACAGGAGAAGGACGAGAAGUAGGAGUUGCCUGUCUCCAGCUACAGCCCAGGCACAGGGGACAGAGGUGCACCCAGAGCCGCUGCAGUGCAGCUGACUUCCUCCACAUCCAGAAGUGAUGGAAGAAAACUUUGGUGCUGAGUCAUGUUUCCUUCCCGUGGGCUCAUGCUGGGAUGGACAGACGUGCCUGCACUGUGCUGGUGUCUUUCAUAUGCCUACAGUCCGUGGUUACUUCUCAUUCAAUAGCAAUUACCGUAUGCCCGUUUUGUGCUAAGGGCUGCUCGAGGUGGAUGCUGUGGUCCCUGUCAGAUGUGUGCCAAAUUGAAAUGCCAGCAGCUGUGUGAGCAGCGGGAUAAUCGUAUCUGCUGCUUCUCUCUUCCAAGUCCUGGCAUUCCCAUUUUAGCAGUGGUGUGUCCAUGCUCAGCUCCACAGGAGGAAAUCCAUUGACUGAAGCCGUGCUGACACCUGGGGGACGUGGCUGCAUGCUCAUCAGUCACCUGUGUGACUGCAGACCCACUGGGUAGGGCGCUGGUGACUCAAUGCAUUGUUUUGAGUAUGGGGAUGUCAAAAAAUAUAGGAGAACUCUAAUGGUUUAUCAUUUUUGCUGUUUCUUUUUUUUUUUUUUUUUUCUUUUUUUUUCUGUCUGAAUGGAGAAACAGCCAGAAUUGUACAGUAAUGUUCACCUUUAGCUUUCAAAAUAUUUACAAGAUUCACUUAAUGUUAAAACAGUCAUUUAAAAAGAGAGAUGGGGGGAAAAAAACCAAAACUGAAACCCAAGAAAGAAAUGACGAAAAGAGGCUUACCCAGAAGCUUGCAAAUCGUCAGCUAGCUGAAUUUAUAUAAACUUUUGGGAAAUAUAGGAGAAUGGGACAAGUCGUCAGAUGGUUGGGUAAGAUUGAUGUAUUUAAUAGUUCAGUUAAUAUGGAUCAACAUCUGCAUUUGGUUACAUCUGCAUAAGCGCCUAACUUCAGCAGAGUUGUGCCGUUGGAACCAAAUUUGGACCAGUGUUUUUAAAUAGGCCCUUGUGCAGAAUACCUACUGAGAGCUCAGUGCUGUUGUGCCUGGUGGCCCUGCAGAGAGGGGGUAAUGCAAUCUGUUAGUGUUUCUCCUGUAAUUUUUAAAACACGUUGAGGAGUAAUAUAUUUUUUUAUAAUAGGGUGCUCCCUGUCUCUUUAAGUAACUGUCAGAUGUAUGAUGUCCUCGUGCCAAAAUGCUACGGUCUGCUCCCUCUGAGCAAUUGUUAAUUAAAUCCAUCCCUUAUUGUAGAGCCUGCCUAGUCUCUUACCCGUUCUGCUUAUCUAUGACACCAGAUGAUGCUUGGUAAUUCAUGGCCAACGUGCUCCCACCUUCAGCAGAGCCUCCUGUGCACUGACCUUAGCCAGCUUCACCUUUUCCUUAUUCCCAAAGAGAACACAACCCUGGAGGCAGCAGUUUUUAUCAACUUCUCCUGCUGACCAGAUGAAGGCUCAGUGAUAAAUAAACGUCCUCCCACCCACUACA